rfam:Triticum aestivum genome assembly, contig: Triticum_aestivum_CS42_TGACv1_scaffold_093809_2AL
CAAGUACUCCCUCCGUUCCGAAUUACUUGUCUUAGAUUUGUCUAGAUACACAGGUAUCUAGCACUAAAAUUAGUCUAUACAUCCGUAUCUAGACAAAUCCAAGACAAGUAAUUCGGAACGGAGGGAGUAGCUC